CCUACGGGCGGCAGCAGUCGAGAAUCAUUCACAAUGGGGGAAACCCUGAUGGUGCGACGCCGCGUGGGGGAAUGAAGGUCUUCGGAUUGUAAACCCCUGUCAUGUGGGAGCAAAUUAAAAAGAUAGUACCACAAGAGGAAGAGACGGCUAACUCUGUGCCAGCAGCCGCGGUAAUACAGAGGUCUCAAGCGUUGUUCGGAAUCACUGGGCGUAAAGCGUGCGUAGGCUGUUUCGUAAGUCGUGUGUGAAAGGCGCGGGCUCAACCCGCGGACGGCACAUGAUACUGCGAGACUAGAGUAAGGGAGGGGGAACCGGAAUUCUCGGUGUAGCAGGGAAAUGCGUAGAUAUCGAGAGGAACACUCGUGGCGAAGGCGGGUUCCUGGACAUUAACUGACGCUGAGGCACGAAGGCCAGGGGAGCGAAAGGGAUUAGAUACCCUAGUAGUC
rnacentral:rRNA from 1 species